CGUGUUUAUGACGCAUAUACAUGUAUCUAUAGAUUAUCAAUACACUUAACUUGGCAAACGUUGUAUGACUUGAUUACUAUGGAUACUCCUACAUAUUUUUACCACGCGACCUCUGGGGAAAAAGCAGCUUUGAUACAGUGUUUUAAUACCCUGUGCCCACAGGUACACAACCCUUCCUUAGAAUGGAUGUGGUUGGUAAAGCACCGCCUUGACUUGGUACCACCCGGGUGUGGUUCUGUGCCACACUCUACAAUGGAGGUCUGCCAACAUUCUCUCCGUACGGCAAUAGCCGGGUGAGCAUUCCUAUUACAAGUGUAAUACAACAACUUGGAGGAAAUAUUAAACUAUAUGAAGGCGUGACUUAUUCGCUCAAUAACGGAAACACUAAUGUUAGAUUGAUGCUUGUGAGGGGAAACGACAAGCCUGAAAUAUUGCAGUACAUGAAAGAACUGGACAUCACCAACAAUCCUUGGCUAACACUAAACGUACUGACCGGAGAGAUCAGGGUUGCGAGAAGACCAAUAUGGGUGGAAAUCUACGUUCCGUAUAAUAUUAAUGUCAGUAACUGCAACUGGGAUAUCGUCCAACACAUGACGGGGUAUUAAAGAACAGGAACUCUCGCCAAAGGCACAUUUCCUUGUGAUUCUUCACCAAUGCUGUUGAACGUUUCUAAUCUUUCACUUCGAGAAGUUAUUCCGAAUGAAGUCAAUAUUCAAUAUUUAUUCAGAGUUAAUAUAAUAUAUUUACCGUAAAUUCCGUGCAGUGCUUUCCAUUACAAUCAGAAUACACAAAAAAUAAUAAUCAACAGUAACGACAGAACGUGAGUGGAUUCAAACUAAUGAAAAUAACCUUGAUAGAAAAACUAGAAUGAUAGACUGAAAUGAAAAUAUAUGAAUCUCAACACAGAAACAUUGAUACAAAAUGUAAUUUCGAUACGAGUAAACGUUGAUUUUUUUAUCAUCAUGUUUUUUUUUCUUUGCUUCCAACUAAAAUAAAUCAUAAUGAAGCCAUGUGGUUUCUUUAUGUGCUAUAAUGGGUUCACUUGAUUGAAGGAUUGUCUGUCUUUACUUGCUUCCAAAUGUAUAUAGAAUACACAGAUUUACACUCGAAAAUCAGUUCUGACAAAAUCAAAUGAACUGCUUCAAUAGGGUGACGGGCGGUAACUGUUUGACUUAUUGUUGGCCAUCACACCAACGUGGAGACACCUAUUACGUAACCACUUGUUUGACUUAUUGUUGGCCAUCACAUCAACGGGGAGACACCUAUUACGUAACUAAUUCAAAAUACACUUUCAAAUGAACUGAACAUUCCUCAGCGAAUUCGAACACAUUUUACAUACAACCUGAACUGCUCAUUUAAAUUAUUUUAUUGAUGUUUAGAGGAAAUAAUCAAAGAUUCCUGCUGAUUUUUUUUUUUUAAUUCUCGAACGCUUUAUAACAACAGCUAGUUGUGGUUUUAUUCCUCGAUUUAACUAGUUAUUGUAAUUAUUCUGUUACUUACACAACAAGUUUGGCAAAUGUCAGCAUCAAGAAUUUUAGCAAAUGUCAGCAUAAAAUUUUUAGCAAAUGUCAACAUCAAUUUUUUUGUUUUGUUUUUUGUUUGUUUAUGUCUUGUAUUAUGUAAUUUUUGUUUCCCCAAAAUAAACAAAAGAAUGGACAGUUCAAUUUCGAACCGAUACGGUAUAGUAUGAUAUGACAUACAAUGGAAAUUACAAAGCAAACAUAAAUAAACAUACAUAUAAUUCCCAAGUUAUUUAACUAUUAACAGUUAUACAUAUGUAUCAUUCACAAAAGAGGGGCCAUUUUGGCUAGGAAAAUGAUAAACCUGUCAGAACUCGUUGAUUGCAUAAUGAUAACAGAUCUUUAAACUUGUAAAUAUUUGUUUGAUUUCUAUAGAUCUAUUGUUUGAUUUCUAUAGGCUAUUUUUCGAAGACAAUACAUCAAAGGGAACCUAUUGUGUUCGAUUUAAAUGUCUAUUGUUAUCGAUUUGUAUGGCCUAUUGAAUUAGAGGUACACAGGUGUCCAGAGGUCCUUCGUUGAGAAAAUCACUGGUGCCCUACAUUACCUACCCAUGACUAUGACAUGAAUAGUCUUGUUUUUAAUGGUAAGGUACCAGUUCAAGUUUUCAAGUUUUAUUCAUUCACUCCGACACACUUACGUGUGUAACAAGGGGUCACACACAUAUAGUAAAUAUGAUACAUGGCGUGUGAUGAUUAGUACAAAAUUUUCAACAUUUUCUGCAAAUAAUGAUAAUUGACUAUAGCAUAGUUACAGAGAGAAGGAACACAAACUUGUACAGAAAUUAAGUUUAUAUUUUUUCAAUCCUUUCUAGGAAUCUGCAAACUUUUGUGUACAUUUUUACAAUAAAUAUAUGAAACAAUC
rnacentral:lncRNA from 1 species